rnacentral:rRNA from 1 species
CUUCCAGCAGGAACGAAACGGUACGCUCUAACAUAGCGUGCUAAUGACGGUACCUGCAGAAGAAGCACCGGCUAACUACGUGCCAGCAGCCGCGGUAAUACGUAGGGUGCGAGCGUUAAUCGGAAUUACUGGGCGUAAAGCGUGCGCAGGCGGAUUGUUAAGCAAGACGUGAAAUCCCCGGGCUUAACCUGGGAAUGGCGUUUUGAACUGGCAGUCUAGAGUGUGUCAGAGGGGGGUAGAAUUCCACGUGUAGCAGUGAAAUGCGUAGAGAUGUGGAGGAAUACCGAUGGCGAAGGCAGCCCCCUGGGAUAACACUGACGCUCAUGUACGAAAGCGUGGGUAGCAAACAGGAUUAGAUACCCUGGUAGUCCACGCCCUAAACGAUGUCAACUGGUUGUUGGGGGAGUGAAAUCCCUUAGUAACGAAGCUAACGCGUGAAGUUGACCGCCUGGGGAGUACGGUCGCAAGAUUAAAACUCAAAGGAAUUGACGGGGACCCGCACAAGCGGUGGAUGAUGUGGAUUAAUUCGAUGCAACGCGAAAAACCUUACCUACCCUUGACAUGUCCAGAAUCCUGCAGAGAUGCGGGAGUGCCCGAAAGGGAAUUGGAACACAGGUGCUGCAUGGCUGUCGUCAGCUCGUGUCGUGAGAUGUUGGGUUAAGUCCCGCAACGAGCGCAACCCUUAUCAUUAGUUGCUACGCAAGGGCACUCUAAUGAGACUGCCGGUGACAAACCGGAAGAAGGUGGGGAUGACGUCAAGUCCUCAUGGCCCUUAUGGGUAGGGCUUCACACGUCAUACAAUGGUCGGUACAGAGGGUUGCCAAGCCG